rnacentral:rRNA from 1 species
AACGGAAAGGCUCCAGCUUGCUGGAGUGCUCGAGUGGCGAACGGGUGAGUAACACGUGGGCAAUCUGCCCUGCACUCUGGGAUAAGCCUGGGAAACUGGGUCUAAUACCGGAUAGGACCUUUCUCCUCAUGGGGUUUGGUGGAAAGUUUUUCGGUGCAGGAUGAGCCCGCGGCCUAUCAGCUUGUUGGUGGGGUAAUGGCCUACCAAGGCGACGACGGGUAGCCGGCCUGAGAGGGUGAUCGGCCACAUUGGGACUGAGAUACGGCCCAGACUCCUACGGGAGGCAGCAGUGGGGAAUAUUGCACAAUGGGCGAAAGCCUGAUGCAGCGACGCCGCGUGAGGGAUGACGGCCUUCGGGUUGUAAACCUCUUUCAGUAGGGACGAAGCGCAAGUGACGGUACCUGCAGAAGAAGCACCGGCUAACUACGUGCCAGCAGCCGCGGUAAUACGUAGGGUGCGAGCGUUGUCCGGAAUUACUGGGCGUAAAGAGCUCGUAGGCGGUUUGUCAMGUCGUCUGUGAAAUCCUAGGGCUUAACCCUGGACGUG